GCCACCCUAGCUCAGCUGGUAGAGCAGACGAUUCGUAAUCGUCAGGUCAGCGGUUCGAUUCCGCUGGGUGGCUCUA
rnacentral:tRNA from 1 species